AUGUACCACUCGUACACUCCGGUUCCUGUGCGCCGCCCGCACCCGCCUGACGACGGCUCGCUACG
rnacentral:sRNA from 1 species